GACACUUGCUAGCCACCGUAGCUUUUUUUUACAUUUUCUUAUCAUCUCUUCAUUUCUUUCUAUCAUACAGAGUACUCUAACAAUAUCACCAUAUAUAAUUUUAUUCCUAUAAUCUCUCAAUUCAUCCCUUCUUCAUUUUUUUGUACUCUUUUAGAUCGAUAUCUCUUAAUCAAUAUCCUCUUUCUUAAAUUAUUGAACGGUUGAAUACCUCACGUCCCCAAAACACCACUCGAAUAACAUCCAAUUGAAGGUGAGGUUUGGUUUUUAGGAAAGAGAAAAUGGAGGGAUUAGACUAAAAACGAAGAUAUUCAGAAAGUCCUACCAUUUGUUGUAGGAUCUCCUAGCGUUAUUUUCUCUCCGAUCCGUUAUAUCCUUUAUCCCAUGAAGUGUUGAAGACACAUAUAAGUUAUAUGUCAAAAAAAAAAAAAAAAAAGACACAUAUAAGUUCUAAUUUGUAAAUUUUAAAGUUUUUUUUUUUUUUUAUUAUUUUAGAUAUUUAACUUCUCAAUAGUUCUCAUACAUGUAUCUGAUACUGCAUAAUAUUUAAGUUGUAUUGUACUCAUAAUAAUUUUAAUGUGACUUGAACAUGUUUUUAUGUAUUGAUCUACAAUUUGUUAAUUGUAAAUCCGCAUUAAUGUAUUCUUUUGUUCA